UACAGAGGGGGCCAGCGUUAUUCGGAAUUAUUGGGCGUAAAGGGCGCGUAGGCGGCUAUUCAAGUGGCGGGUGAAAUCCCUCGGCUUAACCGAGGAACUGCCUGCCAGACUGGAUGGCUUGAGACCGGGAGAGGUGAGUGGAAUUCCCAGUGUAGCGGUGAAAUGCGUAGAUAUUAGGAAGAACACCAGUGGCGAAGGCGGCUCACUGGUCCGGUACUGACGCUGAGGUGCGAAAGCGUGGGGAGCAAACAGG
rnacentral:rRNA from 1 species